UCUUAUGGAUGAACAAAGAAAGUGGUUUCUUGAUAUAGAAUCUACUCUUGGUGAAAAUGCCAUGAA
rnacentral:pre_miRNA from 2 species